rnacentral:rRNA from 1 species
CGCUUAACACAUGCAAGUCGAACGCGAAAAGGGGGCAACCCCCCAGUAGAGUGGCGCACGGGUGAGUAACACGUGGGUAAUCUCCCUUCGAGACUGGAAUAACCCGCCGAAAGGCGGGCUAAUACCGGAUAAGACCACGGGGCAUAAGUCCUGAGGUUGAAGGCGGGUAGCAAUACCUGUCACUCGUCGAUGAGCCCGCGUCCCAUCAGCUAGUUGGUGAGGUAAAAGCUCACCAAGGCAAAGACGGGUAGCUGGUCUGAGAGGACGAUCAGCCACACUGGCACUGAAACACGGGCCAGACUCCUACGGGAGGCAGCAGUGGGGAAUUUUGCGCAAUGGGCGAAAGCCUGACGCAGCGACGCCGCGUGAGGGAAGAAGGUCUUCGGAUCGUAAACCUC